rnacentral:rRNA from 1 species
ACGGAAGGCAGCAGUGGGGAAUAUUGGACAAUGGGGGAAACCCUGAUCCAGCGACGCCGCGUGAGUGAAGAAGUAUUUCGGUAUGUAAAGCUCUAUCAGCAAGGAAGAAAAUGACGGUACUUGACUAAGAAGCUCCGGCUAAAUACGUGCCAGCAGCCGCGGUAAUACGUAUGGAGCAAGCGUUAUCCGGAUUUACUGGGUGUAAAGGGAGCGUAGACGGCAAAGCAAGUCCGAAGUGAAAUCCCGGGGCUCAACCCCGGAACUGCUUUGGAAACUGUUUAGCUAGAGUGCAGGAGAGGUAAGCGGAAUUCCUAGUGUAGCGGUGAAAUGCGUAGAUAUUAGGAGGAACACCAGUGGCGAAGGCGGCUUACUGGACUGUAACUGACGUUGAGGCUCGAAAGCGUGGGGAGCAAACAAGAUUAGAUACCCUGGUA